CCCUACGGGGUGCAGCAGGUAGGAGACGGAACAGAAAACCUCUUUUUCAAAUGGGGUACUCCCAAAAUAAUUUUCUGCUCACACCUCGAUACAGUACCUCCAUAUAUACCACCCUCUUUCAUGCAGUCUUCAGGAAAAGAGGGAGUUUAUGAAGAAAUGACAGUAAAGGGCAGGGGCAGCUGUGAUGCAAAAGGUCAGAUAAUUUCACAAUAUAUUGUUGCUAAAGAGCUGGAGAGAGAGGGCUUUUCAGACUUCGGAAUUUUGUGGGUUUCAGGAGAGGAGACAGGCUCCCUUGGAGCCAGAAAGGCAAACUCAAUGAUAAAGGGAGCAGAAUAUGUUAUUGUGGGGGGGC
rnacentral:rRNA from 1 species